UAAAUGGAGAACGAUUAAGCCUAAGGAAGCAGACCUGGGAUGUUUAUCUACCUUCCAAGCUUCCAAAAACUGAGAGGAGGGGCUAAAAUUUAUAAACUGGUGGUUUAUAAACACGAAAUUAGGGCGAAAUCCGCGUCUCCUGAAACUUGUAACUCCACACUGUCUUCCACGGAGUUGUGACAAUUCACAGCGGCUGAGGAUCUGGCCCAAUAGACCUGAAAUCUUACUCACCCAGAGUGGAAAAUAUUGCAACAACUGAGACACAGCUCUUUCCUCUGUUUUCCCUGCGGAUACAGUACUUAUAUACCACAAUGAGGUCAAGGGCUCGAACAGAAAGAGAAGGGGUUGGACUGCAAGAGGCUCAGAGUUCAUAAGACACCAGGGGACAGAAGGGUGGGUCAUGCAGAGACAAAAUAUUAUUUUUCGAGAAGAGAAGAAUUGGGGCCACGGGAUGGCACCUUAUGAAGAGCUAAUGAAACAUGACAAAUACAGGAAGAUAUAAUAGACACACCGUGCGAUGACAGAAAGACAGCAGCUACGCUCAGAUAUACGGGAACCCUAAGAAAUGCACUCAGUUGUAAUGACCACAUAUUCAGAGACACGUCCAGCCAGAGAGACGGAGUUAUCGCCGGGCUCCUUCACAAGUGAGCAGGCUGAGGAAGGAAAUCUCUUCUCACUCACUUAGAACAGACACGAUGAAAACAGCUUCGAGAAGAGAAGAACUGGGGCCAUGGGAUGGCACCUUAUGAAGAGCGAAUGAAACAUGACAAAUACAGGAAGAUAUAACAGACACACCGCGCGAUGACAGAAAGACAGCAGCUACACUCAGGUACACGGGAACUCUAACAGAUGCAGGCAGUUAUGACCACAUAUUCAGAGACACGUCCAGCCAGAGAGACGGAGUUAUCGCCUGGAUCCAUCACAGGUGAUCAGGCUGAGGAAGGAAAUCUCACUCACUUAGAAC